rnacentral:rRNA from 1 species
GAACGAACGACUGGCGGCGCGCCUAAUAACAUGCAAGUACGAGCGAGAAGACGUAGCAAUACGUUUGUAAAGCGGCGAACGGGUGAGGAAUACAUGGGUAACCUACCCUCGAGUGGGGAAUAACUAGCCGAAAGGUUAGCUAAUACCGCGUACGCUCCUUGGACUUCGGUUCAGGGAGGAAAGCGAUACCGUGGGUAUCGCGCUCUUGGAUGGGCUCAUGUCCUAUCAGCUUGUUGGUGAGGAACGGCUCACCAAGGCUUCGACGGGUAGCUGGUCUGAGAGGACGAUCAGCCACACUGGCACUGCGACACGGGCCAGACUCCUACGGGAGGCAGCAGUAAGGAAUAUUGCGCAAUGGGCGAAAG